AGCUUGUUUGACUAGUAAACAACACCUGGCAUUCAGCAACCUCGGACUUUGUUCUCUCAUUUGUUCUAACAAUAUACUCUCUACUUUGAUUGACCAAAUUUUACUUCUCUUUAAUUACAUGUGAUACUUUGUCUGGUACUUAACAAGAGUUGAUGUAAAAAGCCAUUCAGCUCAUAAAUUAGUCCUAACAACUGAUACCACACUAUUUCUUUUCACUUUCUUCCAACAGAACCUCUCCCAGCUUGCAUCAAUCAAUUAUGAUUUGCUUACAAAGGGUUGGAAAGACGAUCAUCCGUCAAAUCAUAAUGCAUAGCCACUGGGAACAGUGGCUGUGGAGUAUUCAAACCUCGGUCUCUUGGGCUGAUAGAAUCAAACAGAACGUGGGCCAAUCAUCUCCCUGUCUUUACACCUUGUAAAUGUAUGUAUAUGACUAAGUUUAAUGAAAUAAUUCUAAAGAUACUACUUUUCUCUUCAUUGUUACAGUUUUACAUUUUUGUUCCAUUGCAGAUAUAGAAGCAGCUUAAAGAUCACGAUGGGGACGACUGGGGAUGUGUUUUUGUCAUACAGAGAAAUCUCAUGCUGUGAGGUUGUGCUUUGAAUCGUUUUAUUUGUAGUUUGGCAACUUUGUGUUCUCAUGCAUGGCCAUGAGAUGCCUUGUGGUUUUUGACUUCAGGCUUUUGAGUGUUUUGUAAAUGUCCCUCCACAGCAAUGAGAACACAUCUCCUGUUUCGAAAGGGAUUGGACUUGUUGCCUCAAAUUUUGCUUUUUGCAGCCUCUUCCAUUCCUUUGAUUCUUCUCUCUUGUGCAAGUAUCUGCUAAAUCUGCUGUGCUCUCUUGGUGUUGGCUAAUUUCUGAGAAGAGAUUAGUCAAAGGUCUAAUAGAACGACUAUUUUGCCUUUGACAGUGUAAAAUAAAAAGAUUUGAAAAGAAAAAAAGGUGUCCUAACACAGCUAAAAUCAUUUAACAAGGAUCAUAAAUGAUAUUGCUACAAAGAGUUGGUACCAUAAUGUGGUUUUGUUGAGGAUGCCAUAUUUCUUUUUUGGAUGAUAUAAAUUUUAUCAAAUUGUACUACAAAGUGUAGGUUACUAUUCUAAUAAUUGGUUUGUCCCAUUUUGUGUAAGAUGCAACACCGUUUCCUUUUAUGACAUUAAAUAACUAUAUGAUUUCACCAUUA
rnacentral:lncRNA from 1 species